GGAAAGAAAACUUCUGCCCUAAUACGGUGGGAGGAUGACGGUACCGGAAGAAUAAGCACCGGCUAACUACGUGCCAGCAGCCGCGGUAAUACGUAGGGUGCGAGCGUUAAUCGGAAUUACUGGGCGUAAAGCGUGCGCAGGCGGUUCGUUAAGACAGAUGUGAAAUCCCCGGGCUUAACCUGGGAACUGCAUUUGUGACUGGCGAGCUAGAGUAUGGCAGAGGGGGGUAGAAUUCCACGUGUAGCAGUGAAAUGCGUAGAGAUGUGGAGGAAUACCGAUGGCGAAGGCAGCCCCCUGGGCCAAUACUGACGCUCAUGCACGAAAGCGUGGGGAGCAAACAGGAUUAGAUACCCUGGUAGUCCACGCCCUAAACGAUGUCAACUAGUUGUUGGGUCUUCAUUGACUUAGUAACGUAGCUAACGCGUGAAGUUGACCGCCUGGGGAGUACGGUCGCAAGAUUAAAACUCAAAGGAAUUGACGGGGACCCGCACAAGCGGUGGAUGAUGUGGAUUAAUUCGAUGCAACGCGAAAAACCUUACCUACCCUUGACAUGGUCGGAACCCUGCUGAAAGGUGGGGGUGCUCGAAAGAGAACCGAUACACAGGUGCUGCAUGGCUGUCGUCAGC
rnacentral:rRNA from 1 species